rnacentral:tRNA from 1 species
GGGAAGGUGGCUCAGUGAUAGAGCACUUGCCUUGCAUGCAUGAGGCCCUGGGUU